GACGAACGCUGGCGGCGUGCUUAACACAUGCAAGUCGAACGGAAAGGCCCUGCUUUUGUGGGGUGCUCGAGUGGCGAUCGGGUGAGUAACACGUGAGUAACCUGCCCUUGACUUUGGGAUAACUUCAGGAAACUGGGGCUAAUACCGGAUAGGAGCUCCUGCUGCAUGGUGGGGGUUGGAAAGUUUCGGCGGUUGGGGAUGGACUCGCGGCUUAUCAGCUUGUUGGUGGGGUAGUGGCUUACCAAGGCUUUGACGGGUAGCCGGCCUGAGAGGGUGACCGGCCACAUUGGGACUGUGAUACGGCCCAGACUCCUACGGGAGGCAGCAGUGGGGAAUAUUGCACAAUGGGCGGAAGCCUGAUGCAGCAACGCCGCGUGCGGGAUGACGGCCUUCGGGUUGUAAACCGCUUUCGCCUGUGACGAAGCGUGAGUGACGGUAAUGGGUAAAGAAGCACCGGCUAACUACGUG
rnacentral:rRNA from 1 species